GAAAGUCAAAUCUAACAAUAUAGGAAUGAUCAGAUCUCCACCCAAAGCAGGAUUUGGUACAUUUGGUCCCGAAGGAAAUCCCAGAUUAACCAGUGUGGUGUGGUAGAUAGUUGUUUACAUGAACUGACAGAAGUAUACCAAGUAACAAAGUUAGUUAUUUACAGCCAAAGUUCAAUGCCUCCAAACCAAAGCUUAACUCCUAACAGGAAAUGUCUCCAAAUAUUGUGGCCAAACCUUAACUCCUAACAGGAAAUGUCUCCAAAUAUUGUGGCCAAACCUUGGAACCUAAAAAAAUGGAGAGAAAAACGAAAUCAGGAAAUGCAACAGACAGGAAGUCACAUAGGAUAAAACUAUCUCAUUGCACCUGACAUAUACAGUACUGCUAAGAAAUUUCAUUAUCAGUUAUUUUGUAGAUUUUUUAAUAGAAUUAGCUCACUGAUGAGAGCCAACUGAAACUUUGCUGAAAUACAAUUUGAUGUGAUAAACUUUUUUACAAUAGUUAAAGUCGAAUGUGCAUAUAUACUUAAGCAUGUACUGUGUCAAAUAUAUAUCUUCAGAACCGGAGAAUCAGCAUGCAUGUCAUCUGCUAUUUUUCUAAUAAAAAUGUUUCCGUACCAUCCAUCGUCUCAACCUUCUGAAUCCAACUAAUCCAAGCUCGCCAUCGCCAUCAAUGGCACAUCCAGCUCAUGAAAGGAUAAAUAGCAAUAAAACAUUUAUGCACCACUCGUGUGUGUGUGUGUACAUAACAAUGGAAUAGAAAACAAUGAAAAUGUCUCAUUCAUCUGCUUCCUACUGAACCAAAGUGUGCUCCUCCGAGAAACAAUCACCAAAAUAACAUUUAAAAUUAGUAAAGGAUAAUGCUACAAUUUUCAGAUUGUCGGCAGAGAGGUUAGAGCUAUCAUCGUGACAAUGUAUUGCCAGAUAAAUCAACUACUUAAGUGUAAUUAUAUAACUUCUAUUUCAUUACCCCAAAAAAAUAGUAUAGCAAAAAGGCAUGGAUUCAAAAACUUCUCCAAAAUCAUCUACUGGAAAAAUAAAUCAGAAAGACAAUGUCUGUCAUAUAUACACACAGGGGGGUCUAGAAGAAGAAAAAUCGGAUCAUCUGUAGGUGAUAUACCUUUGCAGAAGGACAACCUUAGAGGUACACUAAGUAGACUUCAAAGUGUGUAAACUGAUCUAAUAGGUGAAAGUUUAAUUCAACAAAUAUGGCAAUCACUAACUGCCCUAUAGUCAAGAGAUUGUAUCACUAAGCUGCCCCUUCUAAGCAAUAAUGGUAGCAGUUGCUUGCAGGGUGAGAAAGGUUAACUUUCCGAUAAGCAGACAUUCUUGAUUAUGAUCAAAACAAUAGCCUUGUUAUAUUACCUGGCGAUAUUGGGUGACUGAAACUUAAAGUCCACUAAGAAGUAAACAUCACAGGUUGCAGAACAGGACCAGGCUUGAAUUUCCAAACGUUUAUCAAAUGAUCUAAAAGUCCACUUUGAGACGCUAUCGUCUGCAGCAGAGCAGUAUAGUCAGAAGCAAAAAAACGCAACUAAGCAAUCAUGAAGGGAAAAAGACCAGAGUACUCCAGAGAACUGCCAAUAUUACUAAUUAAUACUGAAGCUAAAGAAGCACCCUCUAGAUUGACUAUAGUCAGAUUAACAAAGUUGAUAAGUAGACUUUCAUCGACUAACAAUAUACAGUAUUUAUUAGAACAAAGAUAAAGAAGUUACCACGCUUGUUAUAGAAGGAUAGAAGUUCUCACAUUACUUGAAAACAAAGAGGCAGAUCUACACUGCUUAUUAUGGUGGUGCAGAAGUGCCAGUUAAUCAGAUAAAAAAAUAUGUAUCAGAACUGUUAUAGCUUUAUAAGACGAAAUUGGAUGACACUUCCUUCAGUAUUUACUGUGCCAAAAUAUUUACUCUGACCUCGAAUGGCACUCACGAAGAAAUCUUGAACUAUGAAACCAUGUGAGCAUGGUCUAUGUUACCGUAAAGGACAAAGAAUAAAAAAUAUACAAAAAGGAAAUGACAUUUGUACAGUAAGGAAAACUAACCAUGAAUAGAUGAACCUUAAGGCACACAAUGGGAAUAAGACAGGAGUUUGUUCAGUAGAUUUACCAUUGGGCAAAAAUGUUAUUAGUAGGCUUAAGACACACGCAUGAGGCAUAACAGAUAAUGAAUGCCAGAACAUGGCAUCAUAAAAAAUGCACAGAAUAGGCCGAGCCCUGACUCAGGUAACAAAGAACAUGGGAUAUAUUAUUCUCCCUCUUUAUGCCAGAUUGUUAGUCCAGCAUCCAGUAUUGCUGCUAGCUUUGGAAAAGUGAACUCAAGAAAACUUUCUGAGUACAAAGCAGAAGAUCUUGCAGCAGCUCCAGUCAACUCUUUCACGUACAAUACUGGGUAGGUACUUUCUCCAGACAUUCGAACUACCAUGCGCCACUAUGAAGUACUCUCUAGUGUGCAUAUAUUUCUUCUCAAGAUAGCCUACUUUGUGGCUAAUUUAUCAGGCCAAAAUAGUGUAGACUGGCCCUAUAUCGGCAAGGUGAUGAUGAUAGCAGUUGUGGUUGCAGACACACAUGAAAGAUAUGUCUUUUUCAAAAUGACAGAACCGAAUUUAGAUGUGCAUGAGAUCAGGCAUACCUCACAUGGAGCAUGGGUGGUCCAUUGAUGUUGGUAGAACGGCGAGAUUGUACGACAGCUUAUGGAAUACGGGCAGCCUGCGGAGUUGGUAGAACGGUGAGACUGUAUAGAGCUAUGUUCGAAACUUGCGGCAUGACGAUGAGCCAAAUAGCUGCAGAUUAUCCCAGAGAGUUAGAAC
rnacentral:lncRNA from 1 species